UAACACAUGCAAGUCGAGCGAUGAAGCCCUUCGGGGUGGAUUAGCGGCGGACGGGUGAGUAACACGUGGGCAACCUGCCUUAUAGAGGGGGAUAGCCUUCCGAAAGGAAGAUUAAUACCGCAUAAGAUGCAAUUCUCGCAUGAGAUGUAUCAAAGGAGCAAUCCGCUAUAAGAUGGGCCCGCGGCGCAUUAGCUAGUUGGUGAGGUAACGGCUCACCAACGCGACGAUGCGUAGCCGACCUGAGAGGGUGAUCGGCCACAUUGGAGACACGGUCCAGACUCCUACGGGAGGCAGCAGUGGGGAAUAUUGCACAAUGGGGGAAACCCUGAUGCAGCAACGCCGCGUGAGUGAUGAAGGCCUUCGGGUUGUAAAGCUCUUUGAUUAGGGACGAUAAUGACGGUACCUAAAGAACAAGCCACGGCUAACUACGUGCCAGCAGCCGCGGUAAUACGUAGGUGGCAAGCGUUGUCCGGAUUUACUGGGCGUAAAGGAUGUGUAGGCGGAUUUUUAAGUGAGAUGUGAAAUACCCGAGCUCAACUUGGGUGCUGCAUUUCAAACUGGAAGUCUAGAGUG
rnacentral:rRNA from 1 species